AUAAUGAUACCCCCGUACAGCCACAGCUUGAGCGUUCAGAGCGUCGUCGCACGCAAUGGGUACGGCUACAUAAGAACUAUGCAGAGGUGGAACUCCUGUGG
rfam:Christensenella minuta strain DSM 22607 genomic scaffold Scaffold3, whole genome shotgun sequence.